UACGUAGGGCGCAAGCGUUAUCCGGAAUUAUUGGGCGUAAAGAGCUCGUAGGCGGUUUGUCGCGUCUGCCGUGAAAGUCCGGGGCUCAACUCCGGAUCUGCGGUGGGUACGGGCAGACUAGAGUGAUGUAGGGGAGACUGGAAUUCCUGGUGUAGCGGUGAAAUGCGCAGAUAUCAGGAAGAACACCCGUGGCUAAGGCGGCUCUCUAGUACGGUACUGACGCUGAGACGCGAAAGCGUGGGGAGCGAACAGGG
rnacentral:rRNA from 1 species